CGCAGCCCAUGGAUGUGAAAUUGACUCUAGUAGGGAGUCCGUGUCCACGCCGCGACUCCCUAAUGGAGUCAGGUUGACUUCUAUGAGGCUAAC
rnacentral:pre_miRNA from 1 species